ACGGUCAUGCCACAUUGAAAACACCGGUUCGCGUCCUAUCACCGUAGUUAAGCAAUGUCAGGCCCGGGCAGUACUUGGGAGGGUGACCACCUGGGAACACCGGGGGCUGUAUGCU
rnacentral:rRNA from 1 species